rnacentral:rRNA from 1 species
CACCGCGGUUAUACGAGAGGCCCAAGUUGAUGACCGCCGGCGUAAAAGGUGGAAUAACAAAAAGAACAAUAAAGCCGAAUACCAUCAAGACUGUUAUAAGUUUUCGACGGUUAGAAGCCUAUCAACGAAAGUGGCUUUAAACAUGUAAAUUCCACGAAAGCUAGGGAA